rnacentral:rRNA from 1 species
UACGAAGGGGGCUAGCGUUGCUCGGAAUCACUGGGCGUAAAGCGCACGUAGGCGGAUUCCUAAGUCGGUGGUGAAAUCCUGGAGCUCAACUCCAGAACUGCCUCCGAUACCUGAGAGUCUCCGAGUCCGGGAGAGGUGAGUGGAACUGCGAGUGUAGAGGUGAAAUUCGUAGAUAUUCGCAAGAACACCAGUGGCGAAGGCGGCUCACUGGCCCGGUACUGACGCUGAGGUGCGAAAGCGUGGGGAGCAAACAGG